GUUGCUGCCAUGGUAAUCCUGCUCAGUAGGAGAGGAACCCCAGGUUCAGACAUUUGGUGUAUGUCCUUGGCUGAGGAGCCAAUGGGGUAAAGCUACCAUAUGUGGGAUUAUGACUGAACGACUCUAAGUCAGAAUCCCGCCGAGGAGGAACGAUUUGGCAGCGCCGCGGAGCGUUUUUUGGCCUCGGAAAGGCGGUCCUCUGCGGUCCCAGCUGGCGGGCCACUCCGCCCCGCGCGGGGCAUGUCCCGCUGUGCACCGGGAACCGGCGUCCGGUGCAGACAGCCCCUCGUCCUGGGAAACGGGCUGCUGCCAGAAAGGUGGUCACUCCCUGACCCAUCAGGUAACGUGUUUGUGGGGAACCUGAUGCUAAACUAUUGGUAGACGCCCUGCUUCUGGGUCAGGAUUUUCUAUGGAGCAGAGCAGCUCCCUCGCUGCGAUCUGCUGAAAGUCAGACCUCCACACAAGGUUC
rfam:Homo sapiens chromosome 21, GRCh38 reference primary assembly.